GAAACGUCAACUCAGACCGACUGACUGUCGUCUGGCUCCAAAUGACGACGUCUGUAUCAUGGAUAAGUGGCGACUGGAGCAGAAUUCACAGGAGGCCGAUAACCUGCCGCCUUCUUUCCUCACGGCAGCAGAGAGACCAGGACUCGUCUGGGAGGUAUGUCAGUGCAGACACACACCUUUUUAUCUGUGUGUGUGUUUGUGUACCUCUGCUCUCGUCGGGGCCUUCACACUUCCACCGAGCUUGGAUCGAGUGUCGGCCCGGUCAUGUGGGUGAGCUGGAAACAAAAAGCAGUGAGACUGAGAGGCGCUCCGGUGCUUUCCAGUGGUUCUUUUUUUCAUCUCAUUUUUAA
rnacentral:lncRNA from 1 species